UUUUAGAUUUUUUUAUUACAAACAAACAAAAAUGAAAAUAUUUAACCUUUUUUGUUAUAAAAUUAAGAUAUAGCUAGUAGAAAAUUUACAAUAUGAAGGAAAAAAUUUGUGAUAAUUAUUCGAUAGCAGAAUUAGGAUCAAGGGGGUAACACUGGAAAUACUUUUGGCGAAGAUUUUGCCCCAAUGAAAGUAUCUGUUUUAUUUGUACAAACAUUUGAAUAAGCAUCCAUGUGAUUGAUCCUGCAGGUUUUCCAAAUGGGUAAUUAACCUUUUUUUAUACUAACAGAUUUUGUGCCAGAUUGAUACAAAGUCAAUUAAGCAUAAAUUUUGGAUUAAUUAUUGCUGCUAAUAUGCUACUGUCCUUACACAGAGCUCAGGAAAAGUCAAAAGGUUCACAUUUAUGUCUGCCACUUCAAUAACCCUAUGUGUAUUUUCUUCAGGAUCUAUAAUUGAAUUAAUCGAAGGUUCGAUAUUUAACGAAAUGAUCUCCAUCAUGAUCCUCAAUUUAAGAGAAAAUCAUAUAUCCGGGCGGAUAAUUAAGUCAAUUCAAAGACGCUUCCAAUGACUUCAUCGUACUAACAUUCUGGGGUUAUGAUAACAUGUCGGUGUCUUUUACCGAAGCAGCGCUGCUCUUAAGUAUACAAGAAAGGCGGAUUCAGAUUCCCCCGCAAUCGAGAUCGUCGUUACUCAGAUUUUUAUAAGACUUGACUUCCCUAAUUUCACGGCCAUAUUGCAAAAUAUCCAAUGGAUGCCCACAGAUGACAUACCUGCCGACGAAUCAUCAAGACAUUGAACCGGCGACCGCGCCCAAUGCCACCCAAAUGAUUAAAACCAAUGCCUCACUAUUCGGAUCGGAAACCAUCCAUACUCUCAUUGAUCUCAGGAAUGUCGGAACCAUCAUCCACAAUCUGGGUCCUCGAGCAAUUCUCAUUCCACUCGUUAGAGGACUUAUCACCUUAAAUUUAAAUUAAGUACGGACAAUCCAGCCGACGAACUUGGAUCUUAUAUAUUUCCGCUUCUACCCACGAAUAACGCCAACGAAACUAGCAUUAUCAACAACAUUAGUGACCAAGCCAACUUAGAGAUAUCCCUCUUCGGUUUAGAAACAAUAGAACCCCCCCCCCCUCCCCUUUUAUAUCUGGCCUGCUCAUAGAAAUAAUAACAACCUGACGAUUGGAUGAAGUCUCAAUCAAUUCCACAUAUCUCCUAUGAAAUAUCCAAGGAUACUCAAGCCGAAAAAUUUCAACAAUUAUUAAUUAGAACACAACGCCCCCACGCUUAUAAUAGAUAUAUAUUGCGAUUAACAAAUUACCUUCAUUGUUUUUGCUUUUUUUGAUUAAUAUAUUACUAUUCGUAAUUAUUAUUCACCAUUACUUCAUAUUAUAUUAUAUAAAAAAUCUUCAGCUUAGAUUAAAAUAUAACGAUAAGUACAAGUC